UAUAUGGGGUUAGUGGCGGACGGGUGAGUAACGCGUGGGUAACCUGCCUUACACAGGGGGAUAACACCUGGAAACAGGUGCUAAUACCGCAUAAGCGCACAGGGCCGCAUGGCCCGGUGUGAAAAACUCCGGUGGUGUAAGAUGGACCCGCGUCUGAUUAGCUUGUUGGCGGGGUAGGGGCCCACCAAGGCGACGAUCAGUAGCCGGCCUGAGAGGGUGGACGGCCACAUUGGGACUGAGACACGGCCCAAACUCCUACGGAAGGCAGCAG
rnacentral:rRNA from 1 species